AUACAUUCUAUGCAUGUUUUAAGAAAAGAAGUGUAGGCAAAUCAUGUGACAAUGUAAUUUGCAAGUAAAUUUUGACUAAAAGUUUAAAAUGGGUCAUUUGACCCCCCUUGGAAUAUCCAACCACAUAGAAAUAUCCCGUCGACGAACAGGAACUGCAAAAAUGUACAAUCGAUGCUGCAACCGUCCAUCGUUUACCAUAACAUCUACUGGAUAUUUGAGACUAUCCGACAACAGAAAUUUCAGGAAGAUUAUCGCUUAAGAAUGGAACAGAAUAGAAAAAAAAAAGUUGCUGCGCUGGAUAAUUACAUGGACGUCGUGAUUACAUAAUAACGAUUCAACGUCACUGCACUGAAUACAGGAAUUGUCCCAAUUGUCGAUGCUAAAUGCUUCUGCUGCCGCCGUAGAACACGUAUAUUUGAAAUCGCAUAAAAUGUAAAAACUCGAUUUUAUAUACCAUUAUCAAAUUAAGUCGCAUAUCGGUAUAAUA